rnacentral:rRNA from 1 species
GACGUAGGGCGCGAGCGUUGUCCGGAUUUAUUGGGCGUAAAGAGCUCGUAGGCGGCUCGUUGCGUCAAUCGUGAAAACCCGGGGCUUAACUUCGGGCUUGCGGUUGAUACGGGCGGGCUGGAGUUCGGUAGGGGAGACUGGAAUUCCCGGUGUAGUGGUGAUAUUCGUAGAUAUCGGGAGGAACACCGGUGGCGAAGGCGGCGACCUGGGUCGAGACUGACGCUGAGGCGCGAAAGCGUGGAGAGCAAACAGG